rfam:Kibdelosporangium phytohabitans strain KLBMP1111, complete genome.
GCCCCCGUAGCCCAACAGGCAGAGGCAAGCCCCUUAAAAGGGUUGGAGUGCCGGUUCGAAUCCGGUCGGGGGCA